AGAGAUUAAGUUAUACAUAUAUAGGUAAAAAGGCAGUUAAAUAUUUAGUUAACAAAAUGUUAGUUUACUAAUUUUUUUUAUGGAGGUAAAAUUCUUAUAUAAAUGAAUAAUUUAGUGUAAGCUAAUAUAUUGACUCUGCGAUAGCCUUGAGGGAAACUGGGAUUAGAUACCCCAUUAUUCUUGGAUGUAAAUUAAUGUAAAUUUACCAGAGUACUAUGAAUUAAUAAUAAAAUUUAAAACUCAAAGAGCUUGGCGGUGUUUUAGACCUCUCAGGGGAACCUGUCUCAUAAUCGACAAUCCACGUUAAACCUAACCUUUUUUUGCAAUACAGUAUGUAUACCGUCGUCAUCAGGUAACUUUAAAAAAAUUAAAAGUUAGCAAUAAAAUAAUUGUAGAUUUAGAUGUCAGAUCAAGGUGCAGCUAACAAAAAGGUGAGGAUGGGUUACAAUUAUAAUUCCUAAUUACGAAUAUAGUAAUGAAAUAUUUACUAUAAUGAAGGAGGACUUGAAAGUAAAAAUAAUUUGUAUAAAAAUAUUUUGAAUAAGGCUCUGAAACAUGC
rnacentral:rRNA from 1 species